rnacentral:rRNA from 1 species
UACGAAGGGUGCAAGCGUUGUUCGGAUUUAUUGGGCGUAAAGCGCGCGCAGGCGGAUAAUUAAGUCAGAUGUGAAAUCUCGGGGCUCAACCCCGAAACUGCGUCUGAAACUGGUUAUCUAGAAUCAUGGAGAGGGAAGGGGAAUUUCACAUGUAGGGGUAAAAUCCGUAGAGAUGUGAAGGAACACCAGAGGCGAAGGCGCCUUCCUGGACAUGUAUUGACGCUGAGGCGCGAAAGCGUGGGUAGCAAACAGG